GAGUUUGAUCCUGGCUCAGAAUGAACGCUGGCGGCGUGGAUAAGACAUGCAAGUCGAACGGAAAUAUGAUUAGUUUACUAAGAUUAUUUUAGUGGCGGACGGGUUAGUAACACGUGAGCAACUUACCUCAAAGUGGGGGAUAGCCUUCCGAAAGGAAGAUUAAUACCGCAUGUGAUCACCAGUAAUGGCGGAUCAAAGACUGCUUCGGCAGUCGCUUUGAGAUAGGCUCGCGUCCUAUCAGUUAGUUGGUGAGGUAAUGGCUCACCAAGACGACGACGGGUAGCUGUUCUGAGAGGAAGAUCAGCAACACUGGAACUGAGACACGGUCCAGACACCUACGGGUGGCAGCAGUCGAGAAUCAUUCACAAUGGACGAAAGUCUGAUGGUGCAACGCCGCGUGGAGGAUGAAGGCCCUAGGGUCGUAAACUCCUGUCAUAGCAGAGUAAGGCAUAGAUGUUAAUAGCAUUUAUGUUUGAUAGUAUGCUAAGAGGAAGGGACGGCUAGCUUCGUGCCAGCAGCCGCGGUAAUA
rnacentral:rRNA from 1 species